rnacentral:rRNA from 1 species
CGCGUAUACAAUCUGCCUCAUACUGGAGGAUAGCCCUAAGAAAUUGGGAUUAAUACUCCAUAGUAUUAUUAGAACACAUGCUCUUGAUAAUUAAAACUCCGGUGGUAUGAGAUGAGUAUGCGUCCCAUUAGUUAGUUGGUAAGGUAACGGCUUACCAAGGCAGCGAUGGGUAGGGGGCCUGAGAGGGUGAUCCCCCACACUGGUACUGAGACACGGACCAGACUCCUACGGGAGGCAGCAGUGAGGAAUAUUGGUCAAUGGAGGCAACUCUGAACCAGCCAUGCCGCGUGCAGGAAGAAU